AGCGCUUAGGGAGUAAGAGGUACUGAAGUUAACAUGCCAGACAGGUAUCAACACCCCAGCCUUCCUGGGACAGGGACAGCCCUCUUGAGCGGCUUUCUCCUCCGGGGCCUCCACGCCAGCCUCAGGUCACACGCUCGCACCUCCACGCGGCCACAUGCAAUGCUGUGACAGACACGCGGCUGGCUGUGCAGAGCACUGUGGCACAGGAAGCUCGCCUUUGUCCUAAUUCCCAGAGAAGCACCGCAUCGGUGAGUCCUCGGAGGGAUCUGGUGGCCUGGCUUGUCUGCCCAGGGAGAAGCCCUUGGUGGGGACGAAUCAAGGUCGAGGAGGCUGCCAGGGGCCUCCCAGAGAUGCCACCCAGCGCUCAGCUCUGACCCGACUCCCCAGCUGCUCUCCGCCAGCCUGCGGGCCCCUUGGCCCACGACCAGUGCACCUGACCUUUCUUCCCAACCCGUGCAGUCCGAGGUCACCUUGCUCAAGCCCUGUCCUGACUCCCGCCCUGGGGCCUGAGGCUCCGGCCAGGCCAGCGCUAAGCCUCCUCCGACUGCCCCGCGGGUCCUCCUGAGGCUGGCGGGCCUUGGCCUCACCAUCCUCAAAGCACUCGGCUCCAGCCCCUCGAGCCCACGUUCCAUGCAGACUGCCCCGUCGUGGCCCCAGCUUGUUCCUUCUCUGCAGCCCCACCUUCUUCUCCGGGCCUCGCCGCCCCGUCUCCUCCAGAACCUCGCUCCAUCGGUGUCCUCUGCCGUCUCCCCCCACUUGCCUUCAUCUCUCCUAUCAGCCUGAGCACGGGCUCGUCUCGGUCACCUUCUGCGCACCUGAGGCCUUCACGCUGCUCUUCCACCUCACGGUCCCAGGAGCCCAGGCCUCGGCCACACGCAUAGCAUCCACUUCCUACACCCGCACGCCCUGGUCAAGGAAGCGUCAGACAGCAGUACAAGGACAACAAACACCCUCCAAGAACUUACUGUUUCUUGGUCUCUUCAAAUUUGUGCAGCUUUUUGCGGAGACCUCCUGACUUAAAGCCUUGGCAGUGUGCUGCUGGCGCUCCGAUGGUGACAAUGUCGUAGUUCUGAUCUGAAUGACAGAAAGCUCUCCUCCAUUACUCUGGGCUCAGGCCUGUGGACGAGCCAGCUACAGGGAUACGUGCACAACUCUGGGAUCCCCCGCCAGCCCACUUCCAAGCAGCCUGUGGUUCCCUCAGUCGCACAGCCCGGGCUGCCCGAGGGCCUCUGGAGCCAAGCACCAUCAUCUCGGCUACGAGGGUCCUGUCUCAGGGGAGAGUCACACAGGGCAGAGGGCAACUACCCAGCGGCUCAGCUUGCAUCCCUCCUUCAGAAGGAUGACCUGUGGGCAAUUUUCUGCCACAGCAACACAAAGGGAAGCUGGAGGGAGGACAAACGAGGGGAAGGGGUCUGAGCUCUCCACAGAGGCCUUCCGGAGGCCCUUGGGCUGUGCCUUUGCCGAGCGCCCAGCAGCAGCACACACAGGGCAGGCUGGGGCAGAUGUGGGGCAGAUGUGGGGCAGCUCAGGGAGAAAAGAAGUGAGAUGUGAUCGAGCGGGACGGUUACCUGAUCCUCCAUCGUCCUGAACUCUCAUCCUCUGUAUGUGUAAGUUUGUGGGAACAAACUCUAACUUUUUAUCUGCUUUCAAACUGCUUGCCUUGAACGAGGGACCUGAGGAAUGGAAUGUGAGAAAAUAAAGAUGGUCAGCCCGUA